AACUCAUGGAAAACAAUAUCUAAAUUAUAAACGGAAUAGUGUGUCUGCAAAAACCAUUGACAAACCAUGCAGUUGCCCUAUGAAAUGCUUUAUAAAAGUUGACGAAGAUACUAAAAAAUGUGUAUUUACAAAAUUUUAUGAGAUGUCAUCUAAAAAUGAGUAGGAUAUUUAUAUACAAGGUCGAAUUGAAAUAUGCGGGGUGAAAAGGCGAAGGAAGAUUACACAGCCAGGUAUCCAAAGAAAUCGCUCAUAUAACCACUUUAUUAAGGCAAAUGGUAUUAAUAUUAAAGUCUGUCAAAGUGCAUUUUUGACCAUACACGGAAUUUCAAAAGAGCGCAUGAAACGGAUUAACAAGCUUUCAUGUAAUAACCAAACACCCCAAGAUCAGAGAGGUAAAAACAUUAAUGCUAAUGUUGUAAGCGAUAGACACAGAGACGAAAUAAAGGAACACAUCUCAUCUUUAACUGUAAAAAUGACUCAUUAUUCCAACAAGGAGUACCAGUUUCUUGAUGCUAAACUUAAUGUAAAAAUCAUGUACAACUUAUUUAUGGAAAAAUACCCAAAUUCUCCGAGUACAGAUACUACAUUAAGUUUUUUAAAGAAAACUUCCAGCUUCACUUCGGAAGGCCGCAAGUAUAUGUCUGCAAUACAUGCGAAGAUUUAGAACUUAAAAUAAAGAACCCCCUUUUAAAUGUUGAGGCUAAAUGGGUGGCAAUAGCUAAAAAAAUUGUACACCAGUGAAGAGCUAAAAAAUUUUACAGUGCUCUCAAAACAGCAACAGAAGAAUGCCAACAGCGAGAUGACUUGGUCGCAAUUUCAUUUGACUUUAUGCAAAACCUGCAGUUACCAGAGUUUCCAACGCAGGACAAAUUUUAUUUAUCACAGUUAACUGUUAAUUUAUUUUGUAUUACCAACUUGAAAUCUCAAAAAUCCUUUUUUUAUAUUUAUCAUGAAGGUAUAGCUUCUAAAGGGCCGAAUGAGGUAUGCUCCUUUAUUUUAGAUUAUAUUCAUAAAGAAAUUAUUGAGGAUGUAA